rnacentral:rRNA from 1 species
GGUGAACGCUGGCGGCAGGCUUAAUACAUGCAAGUCGAGGGGCAGCAUGAAGUGGGCAUACUUUGAUGGGGAGCGGCAAGCGGGUGCGGAAGGAGUACACAAGAAUCCAUUAAUUGGUGAAUAGCAAAGAGAAAUUUGGAAUGAUACUACCUAACACAACGUAGUGGCAUAACUUUGUGGUUAUAGGAUCGGGGCUGAAUGAUGGGGGUGCGUAUGAUUAGAUAGUUUGCGAGGUAACAGCUCACCAAGUCUACGAACAUUAGCUGAUGUGAGAGCAUGAUACGCCACACUGGCACUGAGACACGGGCCCGACUACUACGGGAGGCAGCAGUAAGGAAUAUUAGUCAAUGGACGCAAGUCUGAACCAGCCAUGCCGCGUGAAGGAUUAAGGUCCUCUGGAUUGUAAACUUCUUUUAUAUGGGACGAAAAAAGGUCUUUCUAGACCCCUUGACGGUACCAUAUGAAUAAGCACCGGCUAACUCCGUG